GUAGGGUCCGAGCGUUGUCCGGAAUUAUUGGGCGUAAAGGGCUCGUAGGCGGUUUGUCGCGUCGGGAGUGAAAACCAUGGGCUUAACUCAUGGCUUGCUUUCGAUACGGGCAGACUAGAGGUAUGCAGGGGAGAAUGGAAUUCCUGGUGUAGCGGUGAAAUGCGCAGAUAUCAGGAGGAACACCGGUGGCGAAGGCGGUUCUCUGGGCAUUACCUGACGCUGAGGAGCGAAAGUGUGGGGAGCGAACAGGAUUAGAUACCCUGGUAGUCCACACCGUAAACGUUGGGCGCUAGGUGUGGGACCUAUUCCAUGGGUUCCGUGCCGUAGCUAACGCAUUAAGCGCCCCGCCUGGGGAGUACGGCCGCAAGGCUA
rnacentral:rRNA from 1 species